UUCAUAGCUCAGUUGGCAGAGCAACGGACUGAAAAUCCGUGUGUCGCUGGUUCGAAUCCCGCUGGAGC
rnacentral:tRNA from 1 species